rnacentral:rRNA from 1 species
UACGGAAGGCAGCAGUGGGGAAUAUUGCACAAUGGGCGCAAGCCUGAUGCAGCCAUGCCGCGUGUAUGAAAAAGGCCUUCGGGUUGUAAAGUACUUUCAGUCGUGAAGAAGGUGUUAAGGUUAAUAACCUUAGCAAUUGACGUUAGCGACAGAAGAAGCACCGGCUAACUCCGUGCCAGCAGCCGCGGUAAUACGGAGGGUGCGAGCGUUAAUCGGAAUUACUGGGCGUAAAGGGCACGCAGGCGGUUAAUUAAGUUGGAUGUGAAAUCCCCGGGCUUAACCUGGGAAUGGCAUUCAAGACUGGUUAGCUAGAGUCUUGUAGAGGGGGUAGAAUUCCAUGUGUAGCGGUGAAAUGCGUAGAGAUGUGGAGGAAUACCGGUGGCGAAGGCGGCCCCUGGACAAAGACUGACGCUCAUGUGCGAAAGCGUGGGGAGCAAACGAGGGAUUAGAUACC